rnacentral:rRNA from 1 species
AGGAAUUGGCGGGGGAGCACCACAAGGGGUGAAGCCUGCGGUUCAAUUGGAGUCAACGCCGGAAAUCUUACCGGGGGCGACAGCAGAAUGAAGGUCAAGCUGAAGACUUUACCAGACAAGCUGAGAGGAGGUGCAUGGCCGUCGUCAGUUCGUACCGUAAGGCGUUCUGUUAAGUCAGAUAACGAACGAGACCCUCGCCUUUAGUCGCAAUUUCGCGGGCGACCGCGAGAGCACACUAAAGGGAUCGCUGCCGCUAAGACAGAGGAAGGAGAGGUCUACGGUAGGUCCGUAUGCCCCGAAUCUCCCGGGCAACACGCGCGCUACAAAGGUUGGGACAAUGGGAUCCGACCUCGAAAGGGGAAGGCAAUCCUGAAACCCAAUCGUAGUCUGGAUCGAGGGCUGUAACUCGCCCUCGUGAAAAUGGAUUCCGUAGUAAUCGCGGGUCAACAUCCCGCGGUGAAUGUGCCCCUGCUCUUUGCACACACCGCCCGUC